rnacentral:rRNA from 1 species
GGGAGGUAGUGACAAUAAAUAACAAUACGGGGUCCUUUCGGGUCUCGUAAUUGGAAUGAGUACAAUUUAAAUCUCUUAACGAGGAACAAUUGGAGGGCAAGUCUGGUGCCAGCAGCCGCGGUAAUUCCAGCUCCAAUAGCGUAUAUUAAAGUUGUUGCAGUUAAAAAGCUCGUAGUUGAACCUUAGGCCCGUGCGGGCGGUCCGUCCUCUGGGCGAGCACUGCUCCGUCGCGGGUCUCACCUUCUGGCGAGCGUGGAUGCCAUUUAUUUGGUGUCCGCGGGAACCAGGACCUUUACCUUGAAAAAAUUAGAGUGCUCAAAGCGGGCUCCGACGCUUGAAUACAUUAGCAUGGAAUAAUGAAAUAGGACGAUGGUUCUAUUUUGUUGGUUUCCGGGACGGUCGUAAUGAUUAAUAGGGAUAGUUGGG